rnacentral:misc_RNA from 1 species
UUCUACAUAACAUGGUGGUUUAUUCAUUUUGUUGAUGGAUUUUUCUCUCCAAUCUAUGCCCAACUUGGUAUUGAUAUAUUUGGUCUUGGAUUCAUAACUUCCAUAACAUUCAUUUUCUUGGUUGGGGUAUUCAUGUCAUCUUGGUUGGGAGCAUCUGUCUUGGGUCUCGGUGAGUGGUUUAUUAAACGGAUGCCGUUUGUUCGCCAUAUUUAUAAUGCUUCGAAGCAAAUAAGU